CGGCGUGCUUAACACAUGCAAGUCGAACGGGAUUUAGUAGACAGAAGCUUCGGUGGAAGAUUACUAAUGAGAGUGGCGAACGGGUGAGUAACGCGUGAGCAACCUGCCUAUGACAGUGGGAUAGCCUCGGGAAACCGGGAUUAAUACCGCAUAAAAUCGUAGAAACACAUGUUUUAACGGUCAAAGAUUUAUCGGUCAUAGAUGGGCUCGCGUCUGAUUAGCUAGUUGGUGAGAUAACAGCCCACCAAGGCGACGAUCAGUAGCCGGUCUGAGAGGAUGAACGGCCACAUUGGAACUGAGACACGGUCCAAACUCCUACGGGAGGCAGCAGUGGGGAAUAUUGCACAAUGGGGGAAACCCUGAUGCAGCGACGCCGCGUGAACGAAGAAGGUAUUCGUAUCGUAAAGUUCUGUCCUAUGGGAAGAUAAUGACAGUACCAUAGAAGAAAGCUCCGGCUAAAUACGUGCCAGCAGCCGCGGUAAUACGUAUGGAGCGAGCGUUGUCCGGAAUUAUUGGGCGUAAAGGGUACGCAGGCGGUUUAAUAAGUCGAAUGUUAAAGAUCGGGGCUCAACCCCGUAAAGCAUUGGAAACUGAUAAACUUGAGUAGUGGAGAGGAAAGUGGAAUUCCUAGUGUAGUGGUGAAAUACGUAGAUAUUAGGAGGAAUACCAGUAGCGAAGGCGACUUUCUGGACACAAACUGACGCUG
rnacentral:rRNA from 1 species